AUUUUUAUAUUUGCUACUGAAAGUCUGUUCUUUCUUUUUACCUUUUAGGACCAAUGUAUGUUCUUUCUGCGUACCUAGGCUCUGCUGACAUGCUAACACCAUAAAAAGACGGGCAUACUCCUAACUCUUCAAAAUGUCUGUCCCAUGGUUUGGAAUUGCCAGUUUCUGAAUGACUGGAAGCAGGGGAGGUUGCAGUGCUAUGGAAACAGGUGUGCAGACUGGAACCCCUCAGAUAAGCAUGCAGCUUAGUGCUCUGGUCAAGAGUUGUCCUCAUGCAGCUGCUUAAAACAGGUAAGUACCUGGGUAGGUACCCAGGAAGAGCAGGAUUUGCCUUCCUGGAUGGUGCAGCUGUUGGAAUAAGCAAUAUGUGACACUGAUGAUUAUUUUAAUUUCAGGAAAAGAAUGACUGUGCUGCCCUGGGAAGUUUUGUGUUGCUUUUCAAAGGGGUGUGUGCUGUGGGAGAUGGGGGGAAAGGCUGCCUGUUGAAACCCAGAAGGAAGUGGCUGUUUUUCUCUAGGUGUUUGAUCUGACUGACAGCCCUUGUCUGAACUUACUAGUGAUUUGCCGUUUCAUUAGCUGCUGGGUUUUCAAUUUCUGCCUCUUGGAAGUUGCACCGCUUUGAACAAGUCCCCACAGUAAUUGAAUUUGCCACAGAAAUAGAACACUGGAAAAUUUCAUUUUCUUCUCCUUGCAAAGGCAAGCAGGCGGAGUCAUAUUCCUGCUGGACUGCUUCUCUUGCUACCCCUCUGCCUCCUUCUGCCCCAUUCCUCCUGCCCAGCACAGCAAUGCACAUGCUGGUGGGCCCCCACCAUCCAUCCUCAGAGCAACAAAAAAGAUCUCCUUUUGAAUCGGUUCUGAGUGCAUCAGCCUGUCACUUUGUAAUUUUCUCCUAAAUGCCUUCCACAAAUAAUGGUUUUCAAAAUGAGCAUUAACAGGCUUGAUUACAUGAAAUUGUCCUUUUAAUUUACAUCAGUAUUCUAUUGAUCACACAAGUGCAGAUUAAAGUGUUCAAUGAAGCCCAUGAUGAGGUAUUAACCAGCUAAGGGUCCUCCAGGGGCCGCCAGGGACGGCCAGGAAUAUGCUAGAAGUGUACAGUUAUUUCCCCAUAAUGAAGUGGCACUAUGCGAAGGCAUGAAUCGCUGGCAGGAAGAAUAGAUCGGAGAUGAUGAGCUCUUCAAAGUCAUUUCUCGCUCACUCAUUCAGCCUCAUGCCCAGAUCCUCUUGCGAUUCUUCUGCAUUACUUGUCAUGAAAUGCCAGGAUUUACUUAGCCAGCUGAUGCAAUUUUUAUGACCUUAUUGCUUUUUCACCAUGGUAAUAGUUUUGAAUCAAUUUAUCAAUCCAGCAGUGCCAUCAGACAUAUUGCCCUGAAGAUCAAGUCCAGGUCAUUCCAUCAAUUCACUGCGUUUACGAAGAUAGAGAAAAAAAGCCAGGCCGUGUGGGCUAUCAACUUCAAAUGGCUUAGUAAACAUGCUGCUGCUACUUUAACUGCUUCACUUCUGACUCCAGACCUUGCUGCUUAUAAAAAUCAACCAUCACGCUCUCCUCCUCUCCCUGCAUUUUAAUUUUGGACGUAUUAGCCAUGCUACAAAUAAUCUAGGAGAGAACUUGUGGAGGACUCUUUAAAGGGUUUCAAGCCUGCCAUGAAAGCCUGGAAAAAACAAGUAGCUUUUUAAUACAUCUUUCCCUGUUGCAUUUCCAGCUUUGUUAGUUUGCUGCUUUUUGUGCAUUAUCAAGGAACAGCAACAUCCUGUGCCAACAGUGCAGAAGUAAAGGGAGCACGAGCAAGCAGCAGGAAAGCAUAGCUUCAGGAACAGAUAGCUGGAUACUGAGCUUUACCAUAUUAAAAGUCUUGGUCACAGUAUCCAGAAGUCUUUUCCAUUUGAGAGAAGUUUGAUAGACAAAACCCUACAUUCACACAGCAGAAAUUGAUGCAAGUUGUAUUGGCAGGCAAAGAGGCUCUGGAUGAAAUUACACAGCAAGCAUGACUAAAUCGUGGCAGAGAAAAUCUGGCAAAGAGCUAGCAGGGAAUUGUGUCAGGUUAGAGCCAAUCCUGGUACUUCACUGAGAUUUUAGGAUCAGGGAAAUGUUUUUCCCAGCGUACAUUUCCAUUAAGGUUUUGUAAAUGCUCAAUUUCACCCAGCCUGCUCUCUGAACCAAUGUUGUCCUUCACAAUUUUUGGACACAUAAUUAUUUAACUGCAUGAUAUCUCUUACAGAUAUACAGAACAUCGCUAUCAUUAUUUUGGAGGAAUUUUACGUUUUGCCCCACGAUGUGAGAGGUAUUCUCUUGAGUGCUAGGAAGCAAUGCAUCUUCCUUCAUCAUAGUAAGCAGGGACUGAGGUAUAAAUCCCAUUUUCCAGUGUUCAAAUGCACAGACUCAUGAGGGGAGUCACUGAAAAUCUUCCCCUGCCUCAUUGCAGCUGUCUAAACUCUACAAACUCAUGUGAUUCAAGCACAAUCAAAGCCUUCACAGGGAAGUGAUGAAACAAGCCAGAAAUCAUUCACACAGUACCCAUGCAUGGUUUCCAUAUGUGCAGUGAUAUGUGGCAUAAUCUGUACCUGGCUUUUACAAAUCCAAGCAGUGCCCUACAGUAGGAAUAGUGUUUGUGGAAACAGGCUAUUGCAACUUGAAACACAGGAGUGCAUAUACAAAUGAGAUCAAACACAUGUGAUCUGGGCUGCUUUGAAGCCUGAAAAAUCCUUGAGGUCAGAGAACCUAAAGAAUGUCUUGAAGUCCCAUCUCCCCCCCAUUUGUACCUAUGUGUAUCUAUUAACAGCUGUGGCUCUUCCUACAUGCCUUGUAUUGCUUGCUCCUUUAGAACAGCAUAGUUGCAAUUAUAUUAUUAACCAAUCAACAUUAUAAACAAUAAACUGAUAAACAUUAUAAACCAGUUAUCAUCCAGGUUUAUGAAAAGAACUAAUCAGAACAUGUGAGGACAUGGGCUUGUGACUGAUUUGGCUAUGAGAUAGUUAAGGCACAAGUAUGUAAAGGUGUGGGAUAAAUGCAUCUGAGCACUUCAGUGGUUGUGGUGGAAUGAUUUUAAAUACAAUGCAGAGGUGACAACUUUUUUUUGGAUGGUGUAGGAAAAUCAGGGCCAAAAAGGAACCAGAGAGUGUGGCUUCAAUUGGGUAAAGACUUUCAAACUCAGAUGGCCAGUGUCAGGGCUAGCUACUGUAUAUGAUUAUCCUAUUUUUAAUUUUUAGAAUGAUCUUGCUUUACUGCCAUCGACUUUUGGUCUCCAUGUCAAACCUUCAGCAAAAGGCUGCUGGGAGCCCUGCCUUAGCUGUAUAAGCCUAACAGCUGUUCACAUUAGUAAAGCAGGUUCAAAUUUAUACUUGAAAAAAUUAGUGGCUCGUAAAAAAAAUAUGGAACAAUGACAACCAUGGGGAAAAGGUAAUAAUUUAAGUCAUGAAAAAUUAAUCAGGGAGUGAUACAUUAUUUUUUAAGCAAAAUGUGUUGUGCUAAGAAAAAAAGAAGACGCCCGUAGCUUUAAUUAAUUCUGCUUAACAUUAAUAGAAUAAGGUCAGGCACACCAAAAACUGUUGAAUAAAGCAAAAACGUGUGAAAGAUAUAUAAUCUGAUGUUAUUCAUAAUGAAGAAGGGUUAUCUUGUGGUCAAUACAGCACCAUUAUUUUUAAGUUAGAGGUACAACUGCUGAAAAUAUACAGUGGCCAUAACAACUUCCCUGACUAGAUUGUGAAAAAGGGUUCACAUAAAAAGCAUUUUAUGAAAUGGUACUCCCAUUUCCAUGAUCAAAAUUUACGGCUAUUCCUAUCCCUUAAACAACCCCAGGUUUUAUUCUAUCCAAAAUAGGGAGCCUUCCUAGAAUGAAAGGAGGCUGGCCUGGGUCAACCACUGUAGUCCCUUCCAGCCCCACCCAUUCUAUGAUUCUGUGCAUUUAAAGUUGUAGGAAAAUUACAAGAAAAUAUAUUUGGGGGAAAUUUCCUGCUAAAAGCCUAUGUGCCAGGGAAUGGCGCUCAGACCAGCUUCUUUGUGGGUCUGCAAAAGAAGAAGCUUUUGGGCAACUGCAAACAUGUUGUUUAUAGUCAAAACCAGCAAAGCAGUCCCAUAAGUUUUCCUUGUGGCACUGUACAGAACCUAUGGAAAUUACAGCUUCCUUUGAAAGGAAAAUGCUUUUAAAAAACAUACAGAAACAAACAUGUAAGAAACAAGUGGGCUCAGAUAUGGUUCAAGUUCCAAUUAAUUGUCUUCAUUAUUUGUUCCUGAGCCUGGGCUAGGCCUCUCUGUAGCACUGGGAGGGAUUAAUCUCUGAAAAAUUUAGGCACCUGUGCAUCUCCUGGCUGGCUAUGUACCUUUCAGUGUCAAUGAAGAGAUUCUUCUAGAUAGUGAUUUGUCUCUGGUGCCUUAAGUGAUUCACCCAGAUCCCCCCAGCCAGUCCCGUAACAGAGACUCCCUCAAAGGCCAGCUGAGAAUAAUUGGCUCAUUUGUGUCUAAGCAGACCCCAGGACAGCUGGAACCUGGACUUCCCUAUGUAGCUCAAUCACCCUGAUUUCACACUCUCUGUCUGUGGGCUUGGGACUCUUAUUUAAGCUCAAAACAAGAGGUAUGGCUCUUUUGUGCUGUGUCUUGUGUUCCUUACUGGAGUGUUUUAUUGGUAAAGAUUUCUAAAGACCGCCUACUGGCUGACCUGAUUUGCCACUGCCAGCCUAUUCUGCUCUUUUUGAGUGCUGUGGACAUCUCUGCUUCCUGGAUUACCUGACCUCAGGGAGUGUGUGCAGCCUUCCUCCUGCUUCUUGAACAGGUGACGCUUGCUAUUUUGUGCAUGUGAAUAUCCUGAGACACUUCUCUCUGAGCACAGGUAUGCAGACAGAUAGGCCUCUGUAUCAGUCUCUUGGCCCUCAAGGCUGUGACUCUUCAAGUUACUGAAAGAGAAGUCGAUUUUGGUGUUACAAAAAAGAGCAAUGGGAGCUACCCAUUCCAUUAAAUAAACAUUCUCCCAACAAAUGC